GAUGAACGCUGGCGGCGUACUUAACACAUGCAAGUCGAACGAAGCGAUUUGACGGAAGUUUUCGGAUGGAAGUUAAAUUGACUGAGUGGCGGACGGGUGAGUAACGCGUGGGUAACCUGCCUCACACUGGGGGACAACAGUUAGAAAUGACUGCUAAUACCGCAUAAGCGCACAGGACCGCAUGGUCUAUUGUGAAAAACUCCGGUGGUGUGAGAUGGACCCGCGUUUGAUUAGCUAGUUGGUGGGGUAACGGCCUACCAAGGCGACGAUCAAGAGACGACCUGAGCGGGCGACCGGGCACAUUGGGACUGAGAGACGGCCCAAACUCCUACGGGAGGCAGCAGUGGGGAAUAUUGCACAAUGGGGGAAACCCUGAUGAAGCGACGCCGCGUGAGCGAAGAAGUAUUUCGGUAUGUAAAGCGCUAUCAGCAGGGAAGAAAAUGACUGUACCCACAGAAUAAGCACCGGCUAACUCUGUGCCAGCAGCCGCAGUAACAC
rnacentral:rRNA from 1 species